GUUUCUACAGCUAUGUUUCUUUUCUUCAGGUCCUCAAGGUAAAAGUAGAAGUUAACAUGCACACCUGCUUUAUCUGCAUAGCCCCAAGAAGCAAGCAGAAACCAGCAGAACCCUCCACAGGACGGGAUCCAGCAGCUUUCUUCCCACCUCUUGAGUGAAGCUGGAACGUCUAUUAUAAUCUCUGGUCGGGAAACAGCAGCUGGGAGAUAAAUUGCGUUCACCAGGAGAGGGCUCCCGCAGUCUUCUGAUAUUGCUGAAUUUGGGAGCUUGAAGACCCAGUGGAGAAGCUACAGACAAAUUCAUGCAAGAGCUACUCAAACCAAAUUAUGUUCAUCAGUGUGCCAUAGGUACCACACAUGUAAAAAAUAAAUCUGAUUUUACUUAAAUGCUUUAAA